GCGGGAUUCGUAUAGUGGUAAUAUGCGUCCUUCCCAAGGAUGAGCCGGGGGUUCGAUUCCCCUAUCCCGCU
rnacentral:tRNA from 1 species